rnacentral:rRNA from 1 species
ACUCGUAGACUCCUACGGGAGGCAGCAGUAGGGAAUCUUCCGCAAUGGACGAAAGUCUGACGGAGCAACGCCGCGUGAGUGAUGAAGGUUUUCGGAUCGUAAAACUCUGUUGUUAGGGAAGAACAAGUACCGGAGUAACUGCCGGUACCUUGACGGUACCUAACCAGAAAGCCACGGCUAACUACGUGCCAGCAGCCGCGGUAAUACGUAGGUGGCAAGCGUUGUCCGGAAUUAUUGGGCGUAAAGCGCGCGCAGGUGGUUUCUUAAGUCUGAUGUGAAAGCCCCCGGCUCAACCGGGGAGGGUCAUUGGAAACUGGGAGACUUGAGUGCAGAAGAGGAAAGUGGAAUUCCAAGUGUAGCGGUGAAAUGCGUAGAGAUUUGGAGGAACACCAGUGGCGAAGGCGACUUUCUGGUCUGUAACUGACACUGAGGCGCGAAAGCGUGGGGAGCAAACAGGAUUAGAUACCCUGGUAG